AGAUUAAGUUAUUAAGGGCGCACGGUGGAUGCCUUGGCACUAGAAGCCGAUGAAGGACGUUACUAACGACGAUAUGCUUUGGGGAGCUGUAAGUAAGCUUUGAUCCAGAGAUUUCCGAAUGGGGAAACCCAGCAUGAGUUAUGUCAUGUUAUCGAUAUGUGAAUACAUAGCAUAUCAGAAGGCACACCCGGAGAACUGAAACAUCUUAGUACCCGGAGGAAGAGAAAGAAAAUUCGAUUCCCUUAGUAGCGGCGAGCGAAACGGGAAGAGCCCAAACCAACAAGCUUGCUUGUUGGGGUUGUAGGACACUCUAUACGGAGUUACAAAGGACGACAUUAGACGAAUCAUCUGGAAAGAUGAAUCAAAGAAGGUAAUAAUCCUGUAGUCGAAAAUGUUGUCUCUCUUGAGUGGAUCCUGAGUACGACGGAGCACGUGAAAUUCCGUCGGAAUCUGGGAGGACCAUCUCCUAAGGCUAAAUACUCUCUAGUGACCGAUAGUGAACCAGUACCGUGAGGGAAAGGUGAAAAGCACCCCGGAAGGGGAGUGAAAUAGAACCUGAAACCGUGUGCUUACAAGUAGUCAGAGCCCGUUAAUGGGUGAUGGCGUGCCUUUUGUAGAAUGAACCGGCGAGUUACGAUUUGAUGCAAGGUUAAGCAGUAAAUGUGGAGCCGUAGCGAAAGCGAGUCUGAAUAGGGCGUUUAGUAUUUGGUCGUAGACCCGAAACCAGGUGAUCUACCCUUGGUCAGGUUGAAGUUCAGGUAACACUGAAUGGAGGACCGAACCGACUUACGUUGAAAAGUGAGCGGAUGAACUGAGGGUAGCGGA
rnacentral:rRNA from 1 species